UUAUCCGAAACCAGGCACUACAUAUGUAUAGACUCAUCCUCAGGCAAAGCAAAGAUCAAAAUGUGCUUCGUUUCGCCAUGUUUUGUGAUCUGUCCAAUGUGCUUCAUAUAUUAUAUUAUUCAACAUAUGUACGACAUACUUACAUGCAUACACAUACUUUUUUUGCAUUUUUUGUCAGAGAGAGACUCCUCAGCACUCAGCAGAGAGUUAUGCCUACGGAUGAACCAUUUAAUUAUCACGAUCUUUAUGCCAUCCAUUCAGGAUGCAUCGCGCACAGCUUAUGCAACAGACCCGUGACAUGAUGUUCCGUCCAUAUCUAGUUAGCAUAACCAAGUUAAGCAUCCUGACAUUGACAUUGCAUUCUCCACAAGAAAAAAACCGGAGGCAAUUAUUGAGUGAAAUGCGGUGCUCAUAUUUGCUACUGAAAGAAAAUAGAAAUUGAUAAAUCAGCAAUAUACAUUAAAAUGCAUAUGCACCUUAUUUUGACAGUUUAAGUAUAUAAAUAUUUUAUUUUUAACAAUGAAAAGUCUAGGGAAAUUUUGUUUUAGCAUCAUACACGUGAUUAACAGUUUAAAACAUAAAUUUGUUGUGACUUGAAAAAUGGUGGAGUUGAUGAACCUUACUAAAUAAAAUGGCUAAUAUUUCCUAUA